CCUACGGGUGGCAGCAGUGGGGAAUAUUGCACAAUGGGGGGAACCCUGAUGCAGCAACGCCGCGUGGGUGAAGAAGUACUCCAGUAUGGAAAGCCCUGUCAGCAGGGAAGAAAAUGACGGUACCUGACCAAGAAGCCCCGGCUAACUACGUGCCAGCAGCCGCGGUAAUACGUAGGGGGCAAGCGUUAUCCGGAUUUACUGGGUGUAAAGGGAGCGUAGGCGGCAAGGCAAGUCUGGAGUGAAAGGCCGUGGCCCAACCACGGGACUGCUUUGGAAACUGGGUGGCGUGAGUGCAGGAGGGGUAAGCGGAAUGCGUGGUGUAGCGGUGAAAUGCGUAGAUAUUAGGAGGAACACCGGUGGCGAAGGCGGCUUACUGGACUGUAACUGACGUUGAGGCUCGAAGGCGUGGGGAGCAAACAGGAUUAGAUACCCUUGUAGUC
rnacentral:rRNA from 1 species